CGUACCAAGUAUAUGCUAGGAUUGGUGUAGGGUUUCCAGCUUUUAGUGCGAUUGGUCCAUCAAGUAGGACUAAGAGCCAGAGGGCUGGACCCUCCACCAUUAAGACCAGCUCAUCAAAGAUCUUAAAGAUCCCUUCUGAUGCUGAGUAGAGCUAGUGUCCUAUGGUUGUUUAGGUUAUUUACUAGAUGUUUAGUUUAUCUUCUGAUGU
rnacentral:lncRNA from 1 species